CCUACGGGUGACAGCAGUGGGGAAUAUUGGACAAUGGGGGGAACCCUGAUCCAGCGACGCCGCGUGAGUGAAGAAGUAUUUCGGUAUGUAAAGCUCUAUCAGCAGGGAAGAAAGAAAUGACGGUACCUGACUAAGAAGCCCCGGCUAACUACGUGCCAGCAGCCGCGGUAAUACGUAGGGGGCAAGCGUUAUCCGGAUUCACUGGGUGUAAAGGGAGCGUAGACGGCGAGACAAGUCUGGAGUGAAAGGCCGGGGCCCAACCCCGGGACUGCUCUGGAAACUGCCUGGCUGGAGUACAGGAGAGGUAAGUGGAAUUCCUAGUGUAGCGGUGAAAUGCGUAGAUAUUAGGAGGAACACCAGUGGCGAAGGCGGCUUACUGGACUGUAACUGACGUUGAGGCUCGAAAGCGUGGGGAGCAAACAGGAUUAGAUACCCGGGUAGUC
rnacentral:rRNA from 1 species